rnacentral:rRNA from 1 species
AGUGAACGCUGGCGGUAGGCCUAACACAUGCAAGUCGAACGGCAGCACAGUAAGAGCUUGCUCUUACGGGUGGCGAGUGGCGGACGGGUGAGGAAUACAUCGGAAUCUACUUUUUCGUGGGGGAUAACGUAGGGAAACUUACGCUAAUACCGCAUACGACCUACGGGUGAAAGCAGGGGAUCUUCGGACCUUGCGCGAUUGAAUGAGCCGAUGUCGGAUUAGCUAGUUGGCGGGGUAAAGGCCACCAAGGCGACGAUCCGUAGCUGGUCUGAGAGGAUGAUCAGCGACACUGGAACUGAGACACGGUCCAGACUCCUACGGGAGGCAGCAGUGGGGAAUAUUGUACAAUGGGCGCAAGCCUGAGCCAGCCAUACCGCGUGGGUGAAGAAGGCCUUCGGGUUGUAAAGCCCUUUUGUUGGGAAAGAAAAGCAGCAGGUUAAUACCCCGCUGUUCUGACGGUACCCAAAGAAUAAGCACCGGCUAACUUCGUG